UUGUAGGGAACGUGAAAGGGACCGACCUUCGGGAGCCGUAUACAGGUGUUGCAUGGCUGUCGUCAGCUCGUGUCGUGAGAUGUUCGGUUAAGUCCGCUAACGAGCGCAACCCUCGUCGUAUGUUAUAUGUGUCAUACGAGACUGCCGGUAAAAAGCCGGAGGAAGGUGAGGAUGAUGUCAAGUCAGCAUGACCUUUAUAUCCAGGGCUACACACACGCUACAAUGGUCUGUACAAUGGGUAGCCAAGCCGCGAGGCGGAGCCAAUCCUGAAAGCAGGCCUCAGUUCAGAUUGCAGUCUGCAACUCGACUGCAUGAAGCCGGAGUUGCUAGUAACCGCAGGUCAGCAAUACUGCGGUGAAUACGUUCCCGGGUCUU
rnacentral:rRNA from 1 species